GAUGAACGCUGGCGGCGUGCCUAAUACAUGCAAGUCGAGCGAACAGAUGAGGAGCUUGCUCCUCUGACGUUAGCGGCGGACGGGUGAGUAACACGUGGAUAACCUACCUAUAAGACUGGGAUAACUUCGGGAAACCGGAGCUAAUACCGGAUAAUAUAUUGAACCGCAUGGUUCAAUAGUGAAAGACGGUUUUGCUGUCACUUAUAGAUGGAUCCGCGCCGCAUUAGCUAGUUGGUAAGGUAACGGCUUACCAAGGCAGCGAUGCGUAGCCGACCUGAGAGGGUGAUCGGCCACACUGGAACUGAGACACGGUCCAGACUCCUACGGGAGGCAGCAGUAGGGAAUCUUCCGCAAUGGGCGAAAGCUUGACGGAGCAACGCCGCGUGAGUGAUGAAGGUCUUCGGAUCGUAAAACUCUGUUAUUAGGGAAGAACAAAUGUGUAAGUAACUAUGCACGUCUUGACGGUACCUAAUCAGAAAGCCACGGCUAACUACGUG
rnacentral:rRNA from 1 species